GCUUACGGCCACACCUCCCUGAGCACGCCCGAUCUCGUCUGAUCUCAGAAGCUAAGCAGGGUCGGGCCCGGUUAGUAGUUGGAUGGGAGACCCGCCUUGGAAUACCAGGUGCUGUAAGCC
rnacentral:rRNA from 1 species